UUCAAGUUUCUCCUCUUCAACUGUUGGGUUUUCAGGUUUCUCCUCUUCAACUACUGGUUUGUCAGUUUUUUCUUCAAAUGCUAGUUCAUUAGGUGUUUCUUCCCGUUUUGAUUCCUUGAGUGUUUCUUCAGUUUUUGGUUUUUCAGGUUUCUCUUCAACCAUUGGUUCUUCAAGUUUCUCCUCCACAGUUGUUUUUUCAUGUUUCUCUUCAACUGCCAGAUCUUCAAGUUCUCUCUCAACUGUUGGUUCUUCAGGCUUCUCCAUAACCGCCAAUACUUCAGGCUUCUCUUCAAUUGUUGUUUCUUCAUGUUCUUUUUCAACUACUGGUUCUUGAGAUUUUUCCUUGACUGAUUCAUAGUCAGCAAUAUCAUUGGUGGUAUUGCAUGACAUUACAUAAUCUAUCUUGUCCUUUGAGUCUACAAUUGGAAAAUGCUGCAAGAAAAUUUAAAAGUUUUACUUAGUCUUUCAACAGAUAAACAUAUGUAAAUCCGUUGCACAUAUAAAGCUAAUAUGAUGGAUAAAUUUUGUGACAAUGUUUAAUUCUGACCUUCUCUAGAAGAGCUCCGGUUUCAGGUUUCUCCACUUCAACAACUAGUUCUUUAGGUGUCUUUUCAACCGUUGCUUCUUCAGGUUUCUCUUCAAGUGCUAGUUCUUCAGCUGUUUCCUCCCCCUCUAACUCUUCAGGUGUUUUUUUAGCUGUUCGUUCUUCAGAUUUCUCUUCAGCCGCAGGUUCUUGAGGUUUCUCUUCAAAUGGUAAUUCAAAUUUCUCCUCAACCGAUGGUUCUUCAAAUUUCUCUUGAAUAACUGGUUCUUCAGGUUUUUCUUCAACUGCUGAUUCUUCAAGAUUUUCUUCAACAUUUAAAGAUUGAGCAACAUCAUUACUGGUAUUGCAUGGAAUUUCACUGCCAUUUUUGCUGUUCAAGUCUACAACUAGCAUAUUCUGCAAAAGAGUUUAAUGUUUCACUUAGUCUUUCAAUAAAGAAGCAGACGUGAAUCAUUUCACAUACAUAACUAAUAAUAUGGAUAGCUAAUAAUAUGGAUUAACUUUUAUGACAGAUUUUCCACAAGAGCUACCUUUUCAGGUUUCUCCUCUUCAAGUGAUGGUUUCUCUUCAAAUGAUAGUUCAUUAGGCGUUUCUUCCUGUGUUGGUUUUUCAUGUGCUUCUUCAGUUACUGGUUUUUCAGGUUUCUCCUUAGUUGUUGGUUCUUCGCUUGUCUCCUCAGCUGAUUGUUCUUCAAGCUUCUCUCCUGUUGUUGAUUUUUCUGGUUUCUCUUCAAUUAUCGGUGGUUCAGGUUUUUUCUCAACCGGUGAUUCUUCUGGUUUCUCCAAAACCAUUGAUUCUUCAUGUUUUUUUUCAACUACUGACUCUUCAGUGUUUUCCUCAACUGAUGCAUAGUCAGCAAUAUCGUUGUUGGUAUUGCUUGGAAUUGCAUUGUCUAUCUUGUCCUUUGAGUUUACUUUUGGCAUAUUCUGCAAUGAAGUUUCACGUAGUCUUUCAAUAGAUAAACAAAUGUAAAUUUGUUGCACAUAUAAAAGCUAAUAUGAUGGAUAAAAUUUGUGCCAGUGUUUAAUCCUCACCUUCUCCUGAAGAGCUUCCGCUUCAAGUUCCUCCUCUUCAAUUGCAGGUUUUUCAUCUUUCUCUCCAACAACUAGUUCUUCAGGUUUCUCUUCAAGUGCCAGUUCUUCAGGUGUUUCCUCCUUUGCCAGCUCUUCAGGUGUUUCCUCCUUUGCCAGCUCUUCAGGUGUUUCUUUAGCUGCCGGUUCUUCAGGUUUCUCUUCAACCUCCGGUUCUUGUGGUAUUUCCUCUACUUGUACUUCAGAUUUCUCCUCAAUUGUUGGUUCUUCAGGUUUCUCUCUAACCGCUGCUGCAUUAGGUUUCUCUUCAUUGGCUGGUUCUUCAGGUUUUUCUUCAACUACCGAUUCUUCAGGAUUUUCCUCAAUGUUUGGAAAGGGAGCGACAUCAUUAUUGGUAUUGCAUGGAAUUUCACUGCCAGUUUUGUCAUUCAAGUCCACAACUAGUAUAUUCUGCAAAAGAGUUUAAUGUUUCACUUAGUCUUUCAAUAAAGAAGCAGAUGCGAAUCAUUACAUAUACAUAACUAAUAACAUGGAUAAACUUUAUGACAGUAGUUGACCCUUACCUUUUCCACAAGAGUUACUUUUGCAGGUUUCUCCUCUUCAAGUGCUGGUUUCUCUUCAAAUGAUAGUUCAUUAGGUGUUUCUUCCCGUGUUGGUUCUUCAUGUGCUUCUUCAGUUACUGGUUUUUCAGGUUUCUCCUCAAUUGUUGGUUCUUCGCUUGUCUUCUCAACUGAUGGUUCCUCAUGCUUCUCUCCCGUUGUUGAUUUUUCGGGUUUCUCUUCAGUUGUCGAUGGUUCAGUUUUUUUCUCAACCGCUGGUUCUUUUGGCUUCUCCAAAACCAUUUCCGAUUUCUCUUCAGUUGGUGGUUCUUCAUGGUUUUUUUCAACUACUGGUUCUUCUCUUUUUUCCUCAACUGAUGCAUAGUCAGCAAUAUCGUUGUUGGUAUUGC
rnacentral:lncRNA from 1 species